rnacentral:rRNA from 1 species
UAUAAUGACUUCGGUCCAAAGAUUUAUCGCCCAAGGAUGAGCCCGCGUAAGAUUAGCUAGUUGGUGGGGUAAAGGCCUACCAAGGCUACGAUCUUUAGCUGGUCUGAGAGGAUGAUCAGCCACACUGGGACUGAGACACGGCCCAGACUCCUACGGUAGGCAGCAGUGGGGAAUAUUGGACAAUGGGCGAAAGCCUGAUCCAGCAAUGCCGCGUGAGUGAUGAAGGCCUUAGGGUUGUAAAGCUCUUUUACCCGGGAUGAUAAUGACAGUACCGGGAGAAUAAGCUCCGGCUAACUCCGUGCCAGCAGCCGCGGUAAUACGGAGGGAGCUAGCGUUGUUCGGAAUUACUGGGCGUAAAGCGCGCGUAGCCGGUUUUUUAAGUCAGAGGUGAAAGCCCAGUGCUCAACACUGGAACUGCCUUUGAAACUGGAAAACUUGAAUCUUGGAGAGGUCAGUGGAAUUCCGAGUGUAGAGGUGAAAUUCG